UGGAAGUCCAAAAAAAUUGAAUAAGAUGUAAAAGUAUGUUUAACCACUGCUGAAAAUGGUAUGUUAAAAAACUAAUAAAAAUGUGUGUGUGUGUGUGUGUGUGUAUGUGUGUGUGUGUCCAGUGCUCUCUGAUCCAA